rnacentral:rRNA from 1 species
GAGGACGCUUCCUUCGGGAAGCGAGCGUACACAGGUGCUGCAUGGCUGUCGUCAGUUCGUGUCGUGAGAUGUUGGGUUAAGUCCCGUAACGAGCGCAACCCUUGUCCUUAGUUACCAGCACGUUAUGGUGGGCACUCUAAGGAGACUGCCGGUGACAAACCGGAGAAGGUGGGGAUGACGUCAAGUCAUCAUGGCCCUUACGGCCUGGGCUACACACGUGCUACAAUGGUCGGUACAAAGGGUUGCCAAGCCGCGAGGUGGAGCUAAUCCCAUAAAACCGAUCGUAGUCCGGAUCGCAGUCUGCAACUCGACUGCGUGAAGUCGGAAUCGCUAGUAAUCGUGAAUCAGAAUGUCACGGUGAAUACGUUCCCGGGCCUU